rnacentral:rRNA from 1 species
AUUGAACGCUGGCGGCAGGCCUAACACAUGCAAGUCGAGCGGAUGACGGGAGCUUGCUCCUUGAUUCAGCGGCGGACGGGUGAGUAAUGCCUAGGAAUCUGCCUGGUAGUGGGGGACAACGUUUCGAAAGGAACGCUAAUACCGCAUACGUCCUACGGGAGAAAGCAGGGGACCUUCGGGCCUUGCGCUAUCAGAUGAGCCUAGGUCGGAUUAGCUAGUUGGUGGGGUAAUGGCUCACCAAGGCGACGAUCCGUAACUGGUCUGAGAGGAUGAUCAGUCACACUGGAACUGAGACACGGUCCAGACUCCUACGGGAGGCAGCAGUAGGGAAUAUUGGACAAUGGGCGAAAGCCUGAUUCAGCCAUGCCGCGUGUGUGAAGAAGGUCUUCGGAUUGUAAAGCACUUUAAGUUGGGAGGAAGGGCAGUAAGUUAAUACCUUGCUGUUUUGACGUUACCGACAGAAUAAGCACCGGCUAACUCUGUGCCAGCAGCCGCCGUAA